rnacentral:rRNA from 1 species
UACAGAGGGUGCAAACGUUGUUCGGAAUUACUGGGCGUAAAGCGCACGUAGGCGGCCCUUCAAGUCAGAUGUGAAAGCCCCGGGCUUAACCCGGGAACUGCAUUUGAUACUGUUGGGCUAGAGACCGGGAGAGGAUAGCGGAAUUCCCAGUGUAGAGGUGAAAUUCGUAGAUAUUGGGAAGAACACCAGUGGCGAAGGCGGCUAACUGGUCCAGAUCUGACGCUGAGGUGCGAAAGCGUGGGGAGCAAACAGG